rnacentral:rRNA from 1 species
UACGUAGGGGGCUAGCGUUGCCCGGAAUCAUUGGGCGUAAAGCGCGUGUAGGCGGUCCGGUAAGUCCGCUGUGAAAUCUCAGGGCUCAACCCUGAAACUGCAUUCGAUACUGCGCGGCUAGAGUGCUGGAGGGGAGACUGGAAUUUACGGUGUAGCAGUGAAAUGCGUAGAUAUCGUAAGGAAGACCAGUGGCGAAGGCGAGUCUCUGGACAGCAACUGACGCUGAGGCACGAAGGCCAGGGGAGCAAACAGG